GGGGGUAUAGCUCAGCUGGUAGAGCGGAUCCCUCUAAAGGAUUUGGUCAGCGGUUCGAAUCCGCUUGCUUCC
rnacentral:tRNA from 1 species